UAAUUUGUAUACACAAGUGAAACUCAACUGUUCUAAAUGUUCCACUAAUUAACAUUAAUGGUUUGUUGCAAAAAUGAUAAGAGUAAAAGCAACAGCCAUGGUUACCAUUACAAAUUUAUGGCAUCAAAUUUUCAAAAUACAUAAUAUCAUUCAAUACAAAGUUGAAUUUGCCCAGACGACAAUGAAAAACUUCAAGAAAAUAUCCUAAGGCUCAAAUACAGGGUAAAUCUUUUCCAAUACUCAAAUGUACAGAGAAAAUGCAAGUCUGCAUUGAUCAAGUCCUCUUUUCGCCCAAUAAAUGUCACACCCAAUAGAUGAUAAUCUGACUUGGGGGGAUGAAGAAAUGUGGUCUCAUUUAACAUGUAACUGGGUCUAUACUUUCCAAGUUUUCAAAUCUUAACAGAUUCAUUAAAACUUGCAAAGCGAGGACAUCGUAACCAUCUGUCUGUCACUUCCUAUCUGGAGCACCUGUGGAAUCUCAAGAUUCUUCACAACCCCAUAACCAUCCUCCUACCCAAACUCCAGUAGAUGCAAACUUUAGCAUAAAUGGCAAUGCUUGUUCCUACAUCUAGAAAAUAAGCAGAUAGGUAUCAAUAUUUCAUUUUCUAGUAUAAACCAAUUCUAUAUUUAUCUGCAAUACAAAUGUUUAUAAAGCUCCUUGAUAGUACAUGCUUCUGAACCUGCACAAGUUACAUUAAACUCAAACAGCCAGCAAUUAAUCAGAGGAUGUAAAGAAAAGAUAAUAGAAUGAUAAUUUUAAAAAUGUAAGCUAUUUCAUCUCUUGUGAGUCUGCAAAAGUAGGAAGACAUUCAGGAAGGAAAAA